CUCGAGGCUCCCCGCAGAGGCACCCAAUAGAGGGGAAGUUCUCAGAGAUCCACGGCAGAGCCGUAAGUGACGAUUCUGCGUCCUUCCCUGCGGAGUUUCCUGCUCUAAGGCACAGGAAACUUGGAGGCCUGUUCCAGGUGCUGGAGCUGUGGGAGGGAGGAGGGUUGCCCUCCCGACAUCGCCCGUCACGCCAGGGAGAAUGCGCAAACUUGCUAGUUCGUCCCGCUGUUAGGACUCUUGGAAAACAUCGUCAACCAAGGGGCCAUGCCGAGUUACAAGAGAACUUUGGAAACUCAUCCAUC